rnacentral:rRNA from 1 species
CCUACGGGCGGCUGCAGUGGGGAAUAUUGGGCAAUGGGCGCAAGCCUGACCCAGCAACGCCGCGUGAAGGAAGAAGGCUUUCGGGUUGUAAACUUCUUUUAAGGGGGAAGAGCAGAAGACGGUACCCCUUGAAUUAGCUACGGCUAACUACGUGCCAGCAGCCGCGGUAAGACGUAGGUGGCAAGCGUUGUCCGGAAUUACUGGGUGUAAAGGGCGGGCAGCCGGUGAGACAAGUCAGAUGUGAAAUCUACGGGCUCAACCCGUGAACUGCAUUUGAAACUGUUUCCCUUGAGUGUCGGAGAGGUAAUCGGAAUUCCAUGUGUAGCGGUAAAAUGCGUAGAUAUAAGGAAGAACACCAGUGGCGAAGGCGGAUUACUGGACGAUAACUGACGGUGAGGCGCGAAAGCGUGGGGAGCAAACAGGAUUAGAUACCCCAGUAGUC